GAUGAACGCUGGCGGCGUGCCUAAUACAUGCAAGUCGAGCGAACGGACGAGAAGCUUGCUUCUCUGAUGUUAGUGGCGGACGGGUGAGUAACACGUGGAUAACCUACCUAUAAGACUGGGAUAACUUCGGGAAACCGGAGCUAAUACCGGAUAAUAUUUUGAACCGCAUGGUUCAAAAGUGAAAGACGGUCUUGCUGUCACUUAUAGAUGGAUCCGCGCUGCAUUAGCUAGUUGGUAAGGUAACGGCUUACCAAGGCAACGAUGCAUAGCCGACCUGAGAGGGUGAUCGGCCACACUGGAACUGAGCCACGGUCCAGACUCCUACGGGAGGCAGCAGUAGGGAAUCUUCCGCAAUGGGCGAAAGCCUGACGGAGCAACGCCGCGUGAGUGAUGAAGGUCUUCGGAUCGUAAAACUCUGUUAUUAGGGAAGAACAUAUGUGUAAGUAACUGUGCACAUCUUGACGGUACCUAAUCAGAAAGCCACGGCUAACUACGUG
rnacentral:rRNA from 1 species